GACGAACGCUGGCGGCGUGCUUAACACAUGCAAGUCGAACGGAAAGGCCCUGCUUUUGUGGGGUGCUCGAGUGGCGAACGGGUGAGUAACACGUGAGUAACCUGCCCUUUACUUUGGGAUAACUUCAGGAAACUGGGGCUAAUACCGGAUAGGAGCUCCUGCUGCAUGGUGGGGGUUGGAAAGUUUCGGCGGUUGGGGAUGGACUCGCGGUUUAUCAGCUUGUUGGUGGGGUAGUGGCUUACCAAGGCUUUGACGGGUAGCCGGCCUGAGAGGGUGACCGGCCACAUUGGGCCUGAGAUACGGACCAGACUCCUACGGGAGGCAGCAGUGGGGAAUAUUGCACAAUGGGCGGAAGCCUGAUGCAGAAACGCCGCGUGCGGGAUGACGGCCUUCGGGUUGUAAACCGCUUUCGCCUGUGACGAAGCGUGAGUGACGGUAAUGGGUAAAGAAGCACCGGCUAACUACGUG
rnacentral:rRNA from 1 species